rnacentral:sRNA from 1 species
CCAAGGUUCGACUCGAGCGCCAGCGAGAGAGCGUUGCCGCAGGCAACGACCCGAAGGGCGAAGCGCGCAGCGCUGAGUAAUCCUUCCCCCACCACCA